UGCCAACUGCACAAAGAAGAAGGGAUAAACACGUUCAGGGAAAUCUGGGACCGGAGAGGUGGGGAAAGGGGAAGAGAGAGGGAAGGAAGAACAAACUGGGAAACGUCCUCCCCUGUGGCUCAUGGGCCUUAUGGUGUCAGGCAAACAUUACAGACAUGACCAGUUGGAGAAAGGGGACGUGGAAGAGAGGGAGAGGAAAGUGGCAUCCAUUCAGGUGUCACUCUACCUGUCCACGAGUCUGCUUAUUCUCAGCCCGUGACUCCCCUUACCUAGAAGACUCAUUCCUUUCUAGAAUCUCUAUCUUUCAACCCUUGUAGUGACAACUCCUCCCCCUCAUUCCCAACCCACGGAAGGCCAUGCUAUAAACCAGCACCACCUUAUCAACACUAUGACCGUCUGCUGUCUAAUAUGAUUAUCAUGUGAUAUUAGUGAUCAACCUUAGCAAUGCUCUUAAUAAUGUGGACAACGCUGCUUUGUGGUAAGUGGACAUCACUUCAUGUCUUCGUGUAGACUUAUGCCUGUGUCACCUUGUACCAUCUUCCCAGGACACACCUUUACUAGGCCCACACUUUAACUGAUAGAAGAGUGUCAGAGGUAUCACCUUGGACUUCUCAUUCCAUAUGCCCCCUUAUGCUCUCCACUCUUUGCAAACCUCACAGGAUGACAAAGCCUAUUACCCCCUAUGUUACUCAGUGGCUCUCUACAUCCUCCUGGCUUUUCCUCUAGGCAGUGUGUCAUUGGCUCUGUCCUGAAGUUAUGAGACCCGUGGUAAGAUCCCUUCUCCUCUAAGGUUGCUGUGCCUUCUUUAUUUUUGUUUAUUAACCCUUAAGAGACACUGGAGGUGUUCUUUUUGUCUCCUUGUUUUUAGUUAAAAAAUUAGGACUCCCCUCAGGAGGGGAUCCCAAGGGAAUAUAACCAUGUAGGAGGCGACAAAAAUGGAAAAUCACUGACGUCUGUCUGGGCAACGGCACACAAAGAGUAAAAGUUUCUGAGCAGAAGUCACAUGUGGAGUUCCCGCAGAGAACAGAAAAAGCAAUGUUUAUCUCAUUUUGACUUCUAAAUGCUGUGUUACAAGGCCUCCCCCACCCCGUGCUUUAAAAACCAUCAAGACGAUCAUCACCUUAAGGUUUGCAAUCCAUGCAGAGAAUCUGAUACAAAUGACCAUUACAAAUGACCCUUUGAAAGCCCAGUCGACAGGUUUUAAAGGACAUGACAGUCUUGGCCGGGGAAAGGGUUAGACUGGAUAAGACUUAGCUCACAUCGCUGUUCUGUUGCUGACCGUACCACUCAAUGGCAUAGCUCGAGUUUGGCCUUUGUGUACAGAAGGGGCACCCGCCCUAGAGGUGGGGUCCUCGCUAAGGGAAGCUGGGAUCUGGCAGAGUGCUGUGGGUGCAGAAAAAGAUUCAGACAUACAUGUGACAUCCACGUGAACUACAGAGGAGGACAAUCCUAAGGGAGGUAUCAGCAGCCCUCCUGCUCCCAUCCGCUCAACACAUCUACUCUGCGCUCUCUAAAUAAAGGAAUCAACAGCUCAAGGACUUGAUGAAUACCGAACGAAACACCUCAUCUCAAAAUCCGUAAGCUUCCUUUCGGGUAAGUCACACGCUCUUCUCUUUGCUAAUCGGGGUGGGUGGGAUCCCUGACAAAUGCAAAAUGAAAAGCUGAAUCUCUUCACAGUGAAUAAUACACCCAAGACCUCAGGACUUUUACUUUUCACCCAUUCAAAAGCAACAUAGUCAUGAAGGAAAACAAAGAGGUGUAAAGCUCUACUACCCUAAAGGUCUGCACGUGAAUGUAUGGUAUUCUUUUCUAUCAUCCCUCCCUCCUGCAUCCACCAUCUCAUUUCAUAGCCCUGGGUAUAAGCGUGCAUUUCUGUUCUGCCAAUGGUGGAUAAUGUCACCUUAAUGUUCUGUAAAUGUCAAGGGUUCCUUCUUUUUGAUGGUGGAGCAAUAUAAAAAUCAACAAAUUUAAUUUUACUACAGUCACGGUUUUCAGAUUUCCUAAUUACCCUUGGCCAUGAGCAGAUCAGCUCAUCUCUCUAUUCUGUAUAGCCCCCAAGGUCUUUGAUUAUUUUUAGUGUGUAUAUGGGGGAGACAGAAAGGUGGUUUGAAUCAAUUAAUCAAAAUGCACGGCAGGACCUAGCAGUUUUUUUUUUUUUUUUAAAUUAUGAAAGUAAUCAAUCAACUGCUUAGACACCAUCUCCCUCCCUUUCCCUUCGACACUGCUGAUGGGGACCGGGGCACGGAGACUAAGUGAUCUACUGUAUUAAGAAAAAAAUUUAAAUGGAGCUAAGUACACUCUCUUCAGAGCAUGAUCAUAAACUAGGAAACAGAGACCUUAGUAACCAGAAAUACAAAAUACUGAGAUAAUUCCAUUUGGCUUGACUACCUACACAAACAAAAAAGAAUUAAGAAUCCUGGACCACUAGGUUGUGUCUACACUACUUCUACGUCGCUAUUCCCUUGGCUUUAUAAAAAAGUAAAGAUAAGGGGAAUUAUUCUACAUGGCAACAGAACUGAGGGGAAGAGGGAGAAAGAAAGAAAGAAAAAAAAAAAAAAACAAAAAACCCACAUUAUUUUUCCCUAUGAUAAACCAGAAGCACAUGAAAAGCUCCACGGAAGCAAACUUUUCAGCGAGGCUGAAAUAAACGUAAGCUGUAAGGUGUGUUUUCUUGAAAUGAUUUUUAAAAGAGUUAUGCUGGGAAUAUUCAGUUAGAUUAAAAAAAAUUCAUAAAAAUUCUUGGAAUCAUUCAUGGUUAUCCAUACAGUAUAUUGAAUAUAGCUUAAUGAAAACAUUUAUCAUAGCAACCCUAAGCCAUAUCCACGUUUCAUUUAAAAAAAAAAAAAGCAUAAAUGCACACUUCUCUGUGGAAGGAUAUGCUGUGCAAAUAGUUGUUGUAAACCAAGUAAUAUUUUAAGUGCUCUUGGCUGGGUCUGAGCGAAAUGCAAGUUUGAUCACCUAAUGACACAGUAAGCCUUUUAAAGUCCUUUGAAGAUACUGUCUCUGCUGUCAGGAAUGUUAUGUUACACAAAAGUGACACUGUAAAGCACUCUCCAAGAAAAGCCCAAUCUCCCUGGACUGCCUCACCAACAGUGACCCAUGUUUGUGGAGUUUUGGUAGGACUGGAAUGGUAACUUGUGCCUGCAGCAGGAUCCUUUCAUAUGUGCAUGAAACACCAAUUUGAAUUGUGUUGGUAUUUCUCACUCUCUCCUCCUCCUCUUUGUCCUAGAUGCAUGGAGAUCACCUGGGAAUCUCACAGAAUAAGUAUCUUGCUGUGCUAAGAGUCUAGUGUGGAUACAUGGAAGUUAUCUGGCACAACAUGGCCCCAUGACCAAAACCAACUCUUUCCAAGAAACCACCACCCACUGCAACACCGGAAGGAAAGCUGCCUUUUAUAGUGUAACUUCUGGGUGACUGAAGCCAUGUUUGAGGGUAAUUUUGAACAUGUCACUGUCUGAUACAGUUCCUGAUUCCCAACUUUGACUUACACACCACUGUGUGAGACCCGCUUUUGCAUCAACAAUAGAAAACACAACACGGUCCUAGGGUGUUCUGACUGCCAUCCGAGAGCCCCAUUGAAGCCCAGCUGUGAAAGCGAAGGCUGGCUCUUGGGCCAAACUGAAGUGAGGAGGGUUCACUCUCUGGCCACGUGGUCGGGAGGGGUGACCUCAGUUCAUAAGAGCUGAUGCCCCCGAGUCCUAGACUUGGGGCCUAGGAGGGAGCAGAGUGGCACAGAACAGCCAUCAUCACCGCCUAAGGAGGCCGCCUGGGAUUCCAACCCUGGCCCUGACCCCUCCAGCUGGCGGAUACUGGGUGGACGGCAGGCAGCACGUCCAGGUGCUUACCCGACAGUGUGGAGCUGCUGAUGGUACUGGCUGGCGUGGUGACCUCGGGCUCCUCCUGAGUGCACUCUGCAGGAGGAAGGGAUGGCUUUUCUGGCUCCUCGGGCAGGUCUCUGGGGCAGGGAGCAGCUUCAUCUUUCUCUGCCUCUGUUGAAAUAGCCAGUUUGGGAAGUGGGCCAGAACUGAGUUUAUGUCUGUUGCUUUCAGUAUCUGAAGAGUUGGAUGUGGAUAACUGUUGCCUUAAUUAAAAACAAAACAGAGGCAUGUAUGCAUACACACUAGGAAACUGUGUUCGAGGAGACUCUGGGAAGAAAUGAGGUAAAAAUUGAACUGAGGGCAUGCUAACCAACGCGUGUCUAGUGCAGUGGUUCUUACAGCACAAUCCCCAGACUGGACGCAACAGCAUCUCCUGGACCUUAGGCCAAAGGCAUGUUCCCGGCCUCCAUCCCCGAUUUAGGGGAGCAGACAUGCUGGGACGGGCCCAGCCAUCUGUGUUCUCACAGGGUUUCCAGGAGAUUCCAAUGCCCGCUCAGCCUGAAGAACCACUGCACUCAUAGUGACCGCUUACGACCCUUAACAGGCAUUUCACGUACAUUUCAGAAUAUUCCGAACUCCAGCUGAACGUCUCUGUGGACGGCAACACAGUGCUUUUGGUCUUGUCUCCAGGGUCUUCCUUCUCUUCUCCAGAAUUCUGAGUUAUUCGGUCUAUGCUGCUGAAAACCUGUGAGGCCAAGUGUUGGGGUUUAUUACAACCUUUUUGAAAGAGCUUGUCAGAAAAACCCCAAACUUGGGGAGAAAAUCUGAGAGCACGACUAAAGUUUCAGCUGGGACUGUGUAUUCAGAAGGUACUUUCCGAUGCUAUUUACAUGAGUCCUGAGAUGAAUGGGCUGUGGAUCUAUUUUUUUCUCCUUGGAGUGGGGAGUUAUGAAGUCAUCACCCUCUCGCCCUAUCUCAUUAUGGACUUUGCAUCUGCAAACACAGUCCACAGAUGCUUUGGGGUUUCUAAGUCCUGGGAUCAAUGCACAACUUACAUGACUUUUUAACCAUGAAGUCUAUCAGAAAAAGAAAAUCACAGAGAAAAAGAUUUAACGACCACCAGUCAGGAGCGGGAAGGAGAGAAAUGAAUUGGAAUUGAGUGUGAAGAGAAGAAUAAAUUACCUGGUUCAAGAUGUAUGUGUGGGGGAAGGCAGUGCACGUUUGGUUCUGAGUCAGAGGGGUUUGUCUGGAUUAUAAAUCACAUGCACACACGGGCAGUUUCCUAAGAUGGGACCGGUGUUUCUGAAGGGGAGCAGAGCUUAGGGAGACCUGAGAUCUCUGCUGUCCCACAGGAAAGAUGGAGAGAAAAACUGGGAGCAGAAAGCCCAGGGCAGGAAGCACUCCCCACCAUGCAACACAGACCCUUGCUGCUCUCAUGGGAGUGGCCCUUAGAUGGCAUAUCAUGUACUGUGGUGAGGCCCAGGGUGACUAACACACAGGAGACAGCGGGAAGGGAACAGAGUCUAGGGCCCAGCUUGGAUGGGCCAGAGCACAGGCACGGAGGAAAGCCUGUGCUCAGGGUAAGCAAAGCUUCAGUUCUGGCUCUGGACGGACUGGCCAGCAGACCCUGCAAGGAGACCCCUACCUCUCCAUGGCCUUCCUUUAAACAGUGAAGGCAGUGCCGGCCCAUUUGCAGAUAUGCUCUAUCUUUCUAUCUAGUAGUCAUGUACAAAAACGGACACUUCAUAAGCCCUACAUGGUACAGAAGAUCUGAACAAUCAACACGCAAAACGCCAUGGCAACAGGGAUUGCAUAGUUACUGAAAAGCACAAAAGGGAGAAGGGGGCCCUCCAGAAGCCCUUCCAUUUUCCUAGGGCCCUGUCUGGUCUCAGGGCCAGAUUUCUUUGUCCAAUUUCUUUGUGAGUGGUAAGAAUUUUUUUCACAUUACCACUCUCGGUAAGAAGUAUCCUUGUCGGACAUUGAUUUUAUUACCUUCUCCCAUUUCCAAAACUCUAACUUGGCUUUAUCUGGCCUCUGUCAUGUAACUUAACAUUUUCUAUUACUGACUACAAGACUUUCCCAUUCCACAGCAACUAUCCCCAAGGGUCCUAGCUGAUGUCAAGGACUCUGACUGCUCCCUUGUGUUGUAUUCUUGUGAUAGUAAGAGGGGGCUGUAUACACAAGGACUCUAGCUCAACGUUCUUCAAUGAAGCAUCAGAGAAGUGGGAGAUUCCUCUACUGCCUGGCACCAAACUAGACUCGGUCCUGCAGGGUGAGGUCUGCAUAUAUAUGGCUAUGGUGUUCUCUGAAGAUAGUACUCCAAGUCCAAAUCUGGGCCUCCAAAAAAACCCAUACCCAUCUAUGGAGAGUGUGACAAACUGGUGGGAACUCUGGAUUAUCAGGAUGGUGGGGUCAUUCACUUUUCCGAAACUCCAAGGAAUUUUAAGUAUAGGAGACCCCAAGCCCAAAAAUGCUAUAGGUGGUUUUUAUGAUCUUGUCCAGCUGUUUAGGGAUGCCCACUAUCGGGUCUGAGGGAGAUUCUCUGGGGAGACCCUGCAUGUUUAUGCCACAUUUCACUUACUUUUGAAAACCUGUGUGAACAGGAGGAAAACUGCCUUAUUUCCACAUUAAAGUCUUCAUCAUUUGUGU